GCCUGGGUGGCUUAGUUGGUUAAGUGUUUGACUCUUGAUUCCCUCUCAGGUCAUGAUCUCAGGGUUGUGAGAUCAAGCCCCACCUCAGGCU
rnacentral:tRNA from 1 species